rnacentral:sRNA from 1 species
GAAUACCCAGACGGCGACCCAGAUGGGCUACAACGAGGAGGAAGC